GAGGAUUUGGCAGUGUUUAUGAAGUAACUAGCGCCAAGGACGCAAGCUGUCAAUUUUACUUACAGAACUUUGCAUAUCUGUUUAGGAUUCAUGGCUGGAAUUAUAUGACCUCUGUGCAUAUGCAAAUUGUUAGUUCUUUGUUUUGCUGAUCAGGUGAAAUUUACAGUGAAGAUGCCAGGCAUGCCAUAUAUCAGAGUGGUGAGUAUGCUGUGCUCUCUAUGUAAUCUUAUAUUCACGUUAAUCACAGACUACAAAUGACAUUUCAAUUGGCUAACGGUUUUGACUUGUUUACUUAGUCCUUAUUUGGGAAAUCACCUCCAUUGAAGAGUCAUGUUUUCUUUCUUUUAGCCUGGUCAUCUGGAACACCUCCCCAUGGAGAUCGGCCUGACACUCAUGGCCAAUUAGGUCCCCAUUGUUCCUCAGAUCAUUAAACUGCUGGACUAGCAGGACGACACACACCACUGCAUCAUGGUCAUGGCGCGGCCCUUGCCUUGCAUGGAUUUGUUUCGUUUCGAGGAGCUCUACGGUGGAACCCUUGAAGAGGGGAUGUCACAAAAUGUAAGGUGGCAGGUCACUGAUGCUGCUAACAUUUUUGGGACAUUAAAUUGGAGAACCUGCUGGUGAACCAGGACACCAUGGAGGUCAAAUUGACUGACUUUGGGUGCAGCCUUUAAAGUUUUCCAUGGAACAAAAGUGUACAGUCCUUUAGAGUUCACCAUGAAGGGCAUGUACUAUGCAAGGCCGAUGACAGUGUGGAGACUAGAGGAACAUCCUACAGCCUACGACCGUGACGUGAUCAAUGUGAACCUCUAGACCAGACCUGGACUGUCACGAGGUGAGAUCUCCAUCAAAGAACAAAGGAGGACAAUUUAUAAAUCAUACAAAUAAGAUGUAUAUUAACAAAGAUUUUUUUAGCUAAAAAAUAUAUAUAGAUAUUAACUAAUUUUCAGACAUCUCUCUAGUCUUUUUGUACAGAAUGCUGGCAGAUAAUCUGUGUUUGUCUACGGCCUAAGCCACAGAAGAGACCAAUGCAGGAAUUGUAAUACAGAAGCAAAAUAUAGGACAUGCAACACAGAGGAUGAGCUAAUUGACUUAAUACUGAUAUCAAGUGUUGUUUACAUUUAAAUGAGCCUCAACAUUCUAUGUCAGUACAGCAGCUCAAGUUUACAUUUGAAAUCAACACAGCUGUCCCUGAAGCCUGAUCAAAUGUGCAACAGGCUCUAGCAGGGCAUCUACCGCUCUGUGGCACAGCCCAUGAGGAAGACACGCAGUGGUCGGCAACAUCCUUGCAGCCUUGAGCUGAGACUGAAGAUCGAGCAGCGUCUGUGGCAGAUGCUCAACUGCCCUUCACUGGUGGAGACAGAGCAGCCUGACGGACCCGUCCUGAUCACUGAGAGCUUCUCCACAACCAGCAGAAGAUUCACUCCUCAAGUACAUGUGGACAUCAGUGAAGAGCCCGCUCCUGAGAAACCCAGAAGAAAGAAGCCCAGACACUGAGUCACCACAGUGUCACAUGGAGCAUCGCACAGUGGGACCUACAUAUGAAAAUACUGUAUAUAUUGUACAUAG
ensembl:lncRNA